rnacentral:rRNA from 1 species
GACGAACGCUGGCGGCGUGCUUAACACAUGCAAGUCGAACGGAAAGGCCCUGCUUUUGUGGGGUUCUCGAGUGGCGAACGGGUGAGUAACACGUGAGUAACCUGCCCUUGACUUUGGGAUAACUUCAGGAAACUGGGGCUAAUACCCGAUAUGAGCUCCUGCUGCAUAGUGGGGGUUGGAAAGUUUCGGCUGUUGGGGAUGGACUCGCGGCUUAUCAGUUUGUUGGUGGGGUAGUGGCUUACCAAGGCUUUGACGGGUAGCCGGCAUGAGAGGGUGACCGGGGACAAUAGGACUGCGAUAGGGCCCAGACUAAUACAGGAGGCAGCAGUGGGGAAUAUUGAACAAUAAGCGGAAGCAUGAAGAAGCAACGCCGCGGGCGGGAUGACGGCCUACGAGUUGUAAAACGAAUUCGCCUGUAACGAAGAGUGAGUGACGGUAAUGGGUAAAGAAGCACCGGAUAACUACGUG